rnacentral:rRNA from 1 species
UACGUAGGGUCCGAGCGUUGUCCGGAAUUAUUGGGCGUAAAGGGCUCGUAGGCGGUUCGUCACGUCGGGAGUGAAAACUCGGGGCUUAACCCCGGGCCUGCAGUGGGUACGGGCAGACUAGAGUGCGGUAGGGGAGACUGGAAUUCCUGGUGUAGCGGUGAAAUGCGCAGAUAUCAGGAGGAACACCAGCGGCGAAGGCGGCGCUCUGGGCCGGAACUGACGCUGAGGAGCGAAAGCGUGGGUAGCAAACAGG